GGCUAGCCUUGGAGUCAGGAAGACACGAGUUCAAAUCCUACCUCAGACACUUAUUGGUUGUGUGACCUUGAUCACAACAAUAGCUUUGAGGACACAGGAUUAAGGGAGGAGGGUCCCAUGAGUGAGCCUAGGGAUGGUGUGUCAGAUAUAACAUCUUUAGGGUGGUUGGUGUUGGGCAAGUAGGAGCCCUCAGGUAUAUAUAUAUAUCAUGACCUUCCUGUUAGGUAGAUAAAAUAAUUUCUUCAUUUGUAAAAUGGGGGUGAAAGUGAGGCCCAAGGAAUUCAAAUGAUUUGCUUGAGACCGGUGGGGAACCUGUGGCCUUGAGGCUGCAUGUGGCCUAGGUCCUUGGGUGCAGCCUUUUGACUGAGUCCAAGUUUUACAGAACAAAUCCUUUUAUUAAGGGGAUUUAUUCUGUGAAGUUAGGAUUCAGUCAAAGGGCUGAACUUGACCUAGAGGGUCACAUGUUCAGGCUCCCCUCCCCUGGCGUGAGGUCAUGCAGUGAGUAAGUAGCAUAGCCAAGACUAGACAUAGACUAGAAUCUUGUCUGGUUCAGAGUUCUUUCCUCUAGAUACAAUGCCUACCCUCUGGGGACUAUUGGGGAAAGACUGGGAGAGCUGGAAGGAGAGACUUAAGGAAGGAAAGGUGGCAGAAGACCUUAGGAAUUUGGGCCUGGGGUGGGUAGACGGGGGAGGAGCGGUGAAGCAGGUAGGGACUGGUAAGCUACCCAGAGCUAUGGCAUUGAAGAUACCCAGAGACCAUUUCCCCUGGCCCGCUUCUUCAGGUGCUAGCAUGAGGCUGAGGGCAGGGGGAUGGACCCUUCAGUGCUCAUCAAGUCCCAGUUUCCAGCCUGAGUCUAAGCCCGGGCUGGGGCCGAAGCUGGCUGACUGAUAGGACGCCAGGCACCUGAGUCUGCUCCUGAUCUGGGACAGUAACGCAGGUGAGAGGGAACUUGACUGGGUUUUGAGAUUGGAAGGGGAGAAGGGAGGGAGGCUGGGAUGACACCAGCUCCAGACCCCUCAGGGCUGGCAGGAGGCGGCAUGACCUUCGUCUCACUGCCUCUGACCUGGUGCUCCCUCAGAUCAAUAGCGCUAUCUAGAGUCGUCCUUAGAAAGAACCCUGAAUGACAAGGCUCCUCCAGGGGGACCUCAUCUCUUGGGUCUUGGUGGGUCAGAUUGGUGCUGGGUGUGGCUCUGGAUCCCUGCUGAGAACCGAAGGGGUGGCUGGG
rnacentral:lncRNA from 1 species